CGGAGUGUAGCUCAGCUUGGUAGAGCACUGCCUUCGGGAGGCAGGGGUCGUGAGUUCGAAUCUCGCCACUCCGACCA
rnacentral:tRNA from 1 species